rnacentral:lncRNA from 1 species
CUAGCAUACUAUUUCUUUUCUCCACUUUUUAUAUCCUAACCAUCCUUCAAGACCCAUUUCAAACCAUCCAUCAUUGCACAAGUGACAACAGUUUAUAUGUUACAGCCCCGAGAUUCUAGGAUUUCCCAAUGUUCAAGAUGGCAGAGAAGCACUUUUCUUUGACAGAAAUCUGGGUAUUUCUUCUUGUGAAAUAAGCAGUUCAUUUUUCUUCAUCAAAAGACUGGCAGCUAGCAAGUUUCACUCUGAGACAAAAAGCUCGUAGCACGAAAAGGCUACGGGCCAGUGCAGUAUAAGCAGGAGCUUGGGAAAGCUGAAGCCACUGGAGAGAAAUUUGGCAGAGAACAGAGGCGACUUCCUGUGGCAGUACCAGUUAUCAGAGUUUUUAUUACCUACUGUGUGUCUUUGAAAGCCUCUCCUGUCUGCGAGAUGUAGAACUCCCACCCCAGUGGUGGGGAGAAAGGCAAAAUAAACAGCUUUAAUAAGCGCU